UCGGAAUUACUGGGCGUAAAGCGUGCGCAGGCGGUUUUGUAAGACAGUGGUGAAAUCCCCGGGCUCAACCUGGGAACUGCCAUUGUGACUGCAAGGCUAGAGUGCGGCAGAGGGGGGUGGAAUUCCGCGUGUAGCAGUGAAAUACGUAGAUAUGCGGAGGAACACCGAUGGCGAAGGCAAUCCCCUGGGCCUGCACUGACGCUCAUGCACGAAAGCGUGGGGAGCAAACAGGAUUAGAUACCCUGGUAGUCAAGGGCG
rnacentral:rRNA from 1 species